rnacentral:rRNA from 1 species
AGCGGGAAGAGCUCAAAUUUAUAAUCUGGCACCUUCGGUGUCCGAGUUGUAAUCUCUAGAAAUGUUUUCCGCGUUGGACCGCACACAAGUCUGUUGGAAUACAGCGGCAUAGUGGUGAGACCCCCGUAUAUGGUGCGGACGCCCAGCGCUUUGUGAUACAUUUUCGAAGAGUCGAGUUGUUUGGGAAUGCAGCUCAAAUUGGGUGGUAAAUUCCAUCUAAAGCUAAAUAUUGGCGAGAGACCGAUAGCGAACAAGUACCGUGAGGGAAAGAUGAAAAGCACUUUGGAAAGAGAGUUAACAGUACGUGAAAUUGUUGGAAGGGAAACGCUUGAAGUCAGACUUGCUUGCCGAGCAAUCGGUUUGCAGGCCAGCAUCAGUUUUCCGGGAUGGAUAAUGGUAGAGAGA